rnacentral:rRNA from 1 species
GACGAACGCUGGCGGCGUGCUUAACACAUGCAAGUCGAACGGAAAGGCCCUGCUUUUGUGGGGUGCUCGAGUGGCGAACGGGUGAGUAACACGUGAGUAACCUGCCCUUGACUUUGGGAUAACUUCAGGAAACUGGGGCUAAUACCGGAUAGGAGCUCCUGCUGCAUGGUGGGGGUUGGAAAGUUUCGGCGGUUGGGGAUGGACUCGCGGCUUAUCAGCUUGUUGGUGGGGUAGUGGCUUACCAAGGCUUUGACGGGUAGCCGGCCUGAGAGGGUGACCGGCCACAUUGGGACUGAGAGACGGCCCAGACUCCUACGGGAGGCAGCAGUGGGGAAUAUUGCACAAUGGGCGGAAGCCUGAUGCAGAAACGCCGCGUGCGGGAUGACGGCCUUAGGGGUGUAAACCGCUUUCGCCUGUGACGAAGCGUGAGUGACGGUAAUGGAUAAAGAAGCACCGGCUAACUACGUG